AUUGAACGCUGGCGGCAGGCCUAACACAUGCAAGUCGAACGAGUGGCGGACGGGUGAGCAAUGUCUGGGAAACUGCCUGAUGGAGGGGGAUAACGACUGGAAACGGUAGCUAAUACCGCUUACCAUCGGUUGUGCCCAGAUGGGAUUAGCUAGGCGGUGGGGUAUAGGCUCACCAAGGCGACGAUCCCUCGCUGGUCUGAGCGGAUGACCAGCCACCCUGGAACUGAGACACGGGCCAGACUCCUACGGGAGGCAGCAGUGGGGAAUAUUGCGCAAUGGGCGCAAGCCUGAGUGAGCCAUGCCGCGUGUGUGAAGAAGGCCUUCGGGUUGUAAAGUACUUUCAGCGGGGAGGCGUUACCCGCAGAGGAAGCACCGGCUAACUCCGUGCCAGCAGCCGCGGUAAUAC
rnacentral:rRNA from 1 species